rnacentral:misc_RNA from 1 species
CCGACACCACCAGGCCCGAUCCCGCUGUCGGCGCGCCCAGCUCGCCGCCUGCCGCCGUUGCUCUAUUUCCUAGCGGCCAUGGCUGCCAUGGCGCGGCCUAGAUUCUUUCCAUGGCCCCCUACAGCGACAACACCCAACCCAUGCCGAUCAGGCUCGUAGACACCACUGACACGGGCUGCCAUGCCAUUGUCAUUGGCUAUGUCCCCCUCCCGUCUGCUGCUGCAGCUCUCUUCGACACAUCCGUGGUCACCGGUCCCCUUCCCGGCGUGCAGAGCUUCACCCCACAAUAUGCCAUGACCGACCUCCUUCCCACCAUGAUUGCUGCGCCCGCCAGUGACCUCUCCCUCGCUCACAGAUUUCCCAGCGACGCCGUCGCUGUCCCGGCCACUGGCGCGACCGCCCUCCCUGCCACGUCGGCCUGCUCCCCACGGGGCUGCUCAACGCCACUGCUGAUCUCCCCUCCAUCG